UAAAUUCCCUGACUUUUUUGUUUGAAACUUUGAGGAAGGGACACUGUUUUUUAGCUGGAAUGGUUGAGAGAAUGGGCUAGGAGUUUAGAGUCUAGAUUUGGCCCCUCUAAUUGGUGAGCCUACCGGCAAUGGAAACAAUAGACAAGUAAACCUCUAAGAGUUGGAAAGACUCUUAAGAAGGCCCAGGAAUUUCAGCCAUAGAGCCGAUUAGGACUGAACUUUUCAGGGGCUAAAGUAUGGCCUGCAGCCUUAAUGACUGCCAAGGACACAAGAAUGGGAGUAGUAGGAGGGUGAGCAUGAGUGAGUCUUGAAAGAUUCUGCAUUGGGAACUGCUGACAGGCAUACCUCUUCCCUGCCGGCUACUGCAACCUAUAAAACUUAACCAGUGAAGUGGCAAGAAGAAUCAGAGGACUCGAUGUAAUGGACCUACGAGAGUUAUCUUCAUAUACAUCCUCUGUGCAUGGCACAGUGUACGGCCCACACCAGGCAUUCAACCAAUAUUUGUUGACUGAACAGAUGAACGUUUACCUGAGCCACCUAGGAUGAGUUGGGUCUUUUGGCAUCAGUAAGAAUGAGCAGACACCUGAUGUUCAAACAUGUGUGUCGAAUUGAGCGGUGGGCACUGCCAGACUUUGCAGUGCGAUCUGGCUGAAUUCUCCUUGCACCCAUUUGCAUCUGUGUGCUUGAGGGCUUUAUUCCUGGAUCUAAGAAGGCUAUUCUGUGCACUCGUGGCAGUCCAGAAAUAUUAGGAGUAUCGAGUCAGUGGUUAGCUGAACAUCGGCAAUCUCCGCUUCUGUGUUUUUUGCUUCACUCCCUCUAUCCAACCUGGAAAGACAAGCACAUCAAGGUUUCUAGGCUGUCACUGACUACUCAAUGCAACAAAAUUCUUCUGAAAUGAAUUAGAACAAUUCCUAUUGAUGAGCUCAGUGCAUUGUUUGCAUAUGAAAAAAGAAUGCUGAAUACUGUCUGCUCUGAGUGGUAUCUCCAUGUGUGAAGGGAACUAUUCAUUAGCUUAUUUCAUUUACUCAUUUACUUAAGGCCUACCUUGCAACAGUUCUGUUAGAUACGACGAUAGAGAUACAGUAUGUUGUUCCUGGAGGUGAUAGUCAAUGCUAUGUAUUAAAUCUUAAUAUAAAAGUGUAUGACUAGGAGAAGAUUUGACUCUUCCUAAGAGAGUUGAGAACGGCUUCAAGGAAGUUAAGACAUUUGAUUUGAUGUGGAUCAUGAAGGAGGAACAAGAGUACAGUUGGCAAGUAAGAGAUAAAAAUGUCUGGGUAGAAAAAAGAUCAUAAGAGGGAAGAGGCAUAAACCUGCAUGUUUCAGGAAAGGUCACUCUUUGGUGCAACUGAAGAAUAAGGUGCAAGGAGGGAUGGGGUAUCAGAUGCCCCCGGAGAGGGAAGUCAGAAUCAGAUUAUGAAAGGGGCCACAGGUAGAGAAAAGAUCAUAAGAGGGAAGAGGCAUAAAACUGCCUGUUUCAGGAAAGGUCACUCUUUGGUGCAACUGAAGAAUAAGGUGCAAGGAGGGAUGGGGUAUCAGAUGCCCCCAGAGAGGGAAGUCAGAAUCAGAUUAUGAAAGGGGCCACAGGUAGAAAAAAGAUCAUAAGAGGGAAGAGGCAUAAAACUGCCUGUUUCAGGAAAGGUCACUCUUUGGUGCAACUGAAGAAUAAGGUGCAAGGAGGGAUGGGGUAUCAGAUGCUCCCGGAGAGGGAAGUCGGAAUCAGAUUAUGAAAGGGGCCACAGGUAGAGAAAAGAUCAUAAGAGGGAAGAGGCAUAAACCUGCAUGUUUCAGGAAAGGUCACUCUUUGGUGCAACUGAAGAAUAAGGUGCAAGGAGGGAUGGGGUAUCAGAUGCUCCCGGAGAGGGAAGUCGGAAUCAGAUUAUGAAAGGGGCCACUGUAUGCCAAGGAGUUUAUUGUUUGGGCAAUAUAAAGGAAUGGAAGAUUUACAUAGAGUGUGAAAUAAUUGGCUAAAAUAGGUAAGUAAAAGUUGCUCAUUAGUCUUUUUUUUUUUAUUUUAUUUUCUUAUGUUAAUCACCACACAUUACAUCAUUAGUUUUUGAUGUAGUGUUCCAUGAUUCAUUGUUUGCGUGUAACACCCAGUGCUCCAUGCAGUACGUGCCCUCUUUAAUACCCAUCACCGGGCUAACCCAUCCCCCCACCCCCCUCCCCUCUAGAACCCUCAGUUUGUUUCUCAGAGUCCAUAGUCUCUCAUGGUUCAU